rnacentral:rRNA from 1 species
CCUACGGGGGGUAGCAGUGAGGAAUAUUGGUCAAUGGACGAGAGUCUGAACCAGCCAAGUAGCGUGAAGGAUGACUGCCCUAUGGGUUGUAAACUUCUUUUAUAUGGGAAUAAAAUGUUCCACGUGUGGGAUUUUGUAUGUACCAUAUGAAUAAGGAUCGGCUAACUCCGUGCCAGCAGCCGCGGUAAUACGGAGGAUCCGAGCGUUAUCCGGAUUUAUUGGGUUUAAAGGGAGCGUAGGUGGAUUGUUAAGUCAGUUGUGAAAGUUUGCGGCUCAACCGUAAAAUUGCAGUUGAAACUGGCAGGCUUGAGUACAGUAGAGGUGGGCGGAAUUCGUGGUGUAGCGGUGAAAUGCUUAGAUAUCACGAAGAACUCCGAUUGCGAAGGCAGCUCACUGGACUGCAACUGACACUGAGGCUCGAAAGUGUGGGUAUCAAACAGGAUUAGAUACCCCAGUAGUC